GAUGAACGCUGGCGGCGUGCUUAACACAUGCAAGUCGAACGAAGCACUUUAUUUGAUUUCCUUCGGGACUGAUUAUUUUGUGACUGAGUGGCGGACGGGUGAGUAACGCGUGGGUAACCUGCCUUGUACAGGGGGAUAACAGUUGGAAACGGCUGCUAAUACCGCAUAAGCGCACAGCAUCGCAUGAUGCAGUGUGAAAAACUCCGGUGGUAUAAGAUGGACCCGCGUUGGAUUAGCUAGUUGGUGAGGUAACGGCCCACCAAGGCGACGAUCCAUAGCCGACCUGAGAGGGUGACCGGCCACAUUGGGACUGAGACACGGCACAAACUCCUACGGGAGGCAGCAGUGGGGAAUAUUGCACAAUGGGCGAAAGCCUGAUGCAGCGACGCCGCGUGAGCGAAGAAGUAUUUCGGUAUGUAAAGCUCUAUCAGCAGGGAAGAUAAUGACGGUACCUGACUAAGAAGCACCGGCUAAAUACGUG
rnacentral:rRNA from 1 species